GACGGGGGCUGCAAGCGUUAUCCGGAAUCACUGGGCGUAAAGGGUCUGGAGGUGGUGAUGCAAGUCACUGGUGCAAAACUCUGGCUCAACCGGAGGAAAGCCAGUGAAACUGCAUGACUAGAGUGUGGGAGAGGUAGAAGGAAUUCCAUGAGUAGCGGUGAAAUGCGUAGAUACAAGGAACAACACCGGAGGCGAAAGCGUUCUACUGGAACACUACUGACUCUGUGAGAUGAAAGCUAGGGGAGCGAAUGGG
rnacentral:rRNA from 1 species